rnacentral:tRNA from 1 species
GGCCUCGUAGCUCAGUUGGCCAGAGCGUUGGCUGUACUAAAGACUUGCCCUUGCUGGCGUGAAUUCGAAUCCCACCGAGGCCG